AGUGAACGCUGGCGGCAGGCCUAACACAUGCAAGUCGAACGGCAGCACAGGAGAGCUUGCUCUCUGGGUGGCGAGUGGCGGACGGGUGAGGAAUACAUCGGAAUCUGCCUAUACGUGGGGGAUAACGUAGGGAAACUUACGCUAAUACCGCAUACGUCCUACGGGAGAAAGCGGGGGAUCGCAAGACCUCGCGCGGAUAGAUGAGCCGAUGUCCGAUUAGCUAGUUGGCGGGGUAAUGGCCCACCAAGGCGACGAUCGGUAGCUGGUCUGAGAGGAUGAUCAGCCACACUGGAACUGAGACACGGUCCAGACUCCUACGGGAGGCAGCGGUGGGGAAUAUUGGACAAUGGGCGCAAGCCUGAUCCAGCCAUGCCGCGUGGGUGAAGAAGGCCUUCGGGUUGUAAAGCCCUUUUGUUGGGAAAGAAAACUUUCCGGUCAAUACCCGGAGAGAAUGACGGUACCCA
rnacentral:rRNA from 1 species